CCUUAUUCUCAUUUACGGCCGUAUCCGUAUAUUCAUUCGUCGGAUACGAUACGUCGUCAAAGGAAUAGCUAUUCUGAUUUACGGCCGUAUUUCUGUGUACUAGAUUUAUCUGGACAUACUGAUUUAUCGACAUCGAUGACAGAUGUUCACAUUUUUACACUUUUGUUUUGUUUUGAAUUUCGGUCAAGUACAUCGGCGGUCAAAGUGGAAUAAUGACGAUAUUUAGGCUGGAACGCCUUCUGCACGAUUAUCGGACGUGUUUGCAACCCAAGACCGUGAAACAGAUAACUAUCCUAAAUGAACAUGACAAAAACACGGUGCUAAACUGAUCGAACUGUUGGAGGAGCUUUCAUUUCCAAUACCAGAGGAACUGACUUUUUUCACAACAAGCAGCAUCUGCGAAUUAUAGGAAUCGGCUGGAUUAUGUACUCAACUUCAUUCUCGGAUUGGCCCAAGUCAAAAAGGGCAACAUUGCGACGCUCAGAGGUCUUUUUAUAGAAUACAUAACCAUCACGAUGACGUUUCUAACGGAAUUGCGCAUUCUGGAUACAAAUGAGCUUCAUCUGGAAGAUUUAUUAGGCCAAUUCUCGCAGUAUGAGAUAGGUUCAAUCACUGACGUGAAAAAGGAAUGUCGAGAGGAUGAAUUCAACGAGGAAGCCGCCAUUUGAUACGUCAUACGACAAGCAGGACUACCGGACGUGACUGAACUGAAGGAAUAGGAGGAAAAGGGGAACGAGUUGUUCAAUACCGGGAAACUCAGAGAGACACAGGCAGUAUACACAGAGGCAUUCGCGCUGGACCCUUUGAACAAGGAUAUCAACAGCAAAAUCUACUACAAUCAAGCGCAUGUCUAAUGCUGGCAUGAACACACGAUACGGUAGUGAAUAUGACAAUGAGGAUAUUGAACAGUCAGGUUGUUGAUUUUUUUUAGGUGAGGGGAAAAGUUCAGCAACCGAAAAACAUGUUUUAUUUUCAUACAUUGACCCACAGCACCACAGGAAGCAACAGUAAUUUCAAUUUCAAGAAACACAACGGAAAUUAAAUAGACUGUACUUGUAAAAGACAAAAUGAAAAAAACAACUAAUUAGAAACAACUGUCUCUAGUGUGAAUAA